rnacentral:lncRNA from 1 species
GUUUUGGAUAACUUUGGAUGCUAAAUUUAUAGUACAGGUAGGGGAAACUUUUUGCUUUGUAGAAACCCUCUACUUUCAUUGGAGUAUAAAUGCCAGAACUCUGGGACUGUGUUGGUCAUUCGCUGGCAGAAAGAUCUCACCUGAAUAUGUUUUUGCUGCGCAUUGCAAUUGUUUCCAUGAUCGUUGGUAUUGUUUAUGCCACCGCAACCAAAGAUCCUUUUAGGGAUAAUUGGUUUAGAGAGCUUCGAGAAAAAUUACACAAUGGUUUGUUACUCUCAGUUUUACCCAACGAAUUAAAGAUAUAAGUUUACUAUCUUUUCAGAUGUAUGUCUCCAGAAACCUUCCUAUGGAAAAUGCAAGGGCCAUCGUCGGCAGUUUUACUUCAACGCUUUGCGCUUGAAAUGCGAGUCUUUCAUCUAUUCGAAUUGCGGCGGUAAUAACAAUCGUUUUCACAGCUAUGAGGAAUGCCACGAUUUUUGCAAACAACAGGACCCGGAUACUAUCUAUAAAUCUUUACAAAUGAAUGAUUGGAUAUUAGCUAAUAUUAGAAAAUAAUUAUAAAUGGAAAUAUUCACUAAAAUAUUAAUAAUAAAAUGAUAUACGUAUGUAACGAAA